rnacentral:rRNA from 1 species
AACGAACGCUGGCGGCAUGCCUAACACAUGCAAGUCGAACGACACCUUCGGGUCUAGUUGCGCACGGGUGCGUAACGCGUGGGAACCUGCCCUUAGGUUCGGAAUAACUCCCCGAAAGGGGUGCUAAUACCGGAUAAUGUCUUCGGACCAAAGAUUUAUCGCCUUUGGAUGGGCCCGCGUUGGAUUAGCUAGUUGGUAGGGUAAAAGCCUACCAAGGCGACGAUCCAUAGCUGGUCUGAGAGGAUGAGCAGCCACACUGGGACUGAGACACGGCCCAGACUCCUACGGGAGGCAGCAGUGGGGAAUAUUGGACAAUGGGCUAAAUCCUGAUCCAGCUAUGCUGCGUGAGUGAUGAAGGCCGUAGGGUUGUAAAGCUCUUUUACCCGGGAUGAUAAUGACAGUACCGGGAGAAUAAGCUCCGGCUAACUCCGUG